CUUCUGAAAAACGGUGCAAUUAUUUCAACAUUAAAUUUGUGAAACAUUUGCAAGUAGUCAAUCUCUGCAAUAUCUGAGGCAUAAUUCUAAAAUGUAACAGAUUUAUUGUGUGCAACAUCAUGUACAUUUGGAUAUACACCACAAAAUAAUGAAGCUUGAAGCUCUUAAUCAGAAAUUAUUUGUUUAUCCAAUACCUAAUAGAUGGUUACAGUACAAUAAGGCUUUGCAGGGUUUUUUUUUACACAAAGCAUGGUAAUAAUGUUUGGUACACUUUUUCAACAGUCCCACAGACCAGCCGGCCAGACAGGCCUCAGACAAGUCAGGAUGAGGCUGGGAUUGCAGGUUCUGCUUCUGGAAGCCGACCUCCUGUAAGGCGCCCAUCACAGGGCUUGGGCCACUUACCCAGGAGGCCAAGUAAGACACGGCGUCUUGGCUCGGAAUCUGCGGCUCCAUCAUCCCCACCCAGGCGACGACUUUCGGCAGUGUCACCCCAGCCACCACUGGCACUAUUGGCGAGUUCGCAGAGUGAUGAGCCCCGAUCCCCUCAGUUAUCUGAGCCCAGCUUGAUGGCCGACGUGGACCAGCAGGGACAAGACCAACAGGCAACCAUCACACUGCAACUUACACCUGUUGACCCAAGCCAGCCAAUACAGCUGCAGGAUAUCCCCCAAGCCUCCAUCAGUCCACAACUGGCACAAGCUCCGCCCCCAAGCCAAAUACCAGAUGAUUUUUGGGCCAGUUGGACAAGCCAACAGGCCCAAAGCAAUGCCAGCCUGACCGCACAUACACAACACCUUGCCAGUCUGCCCCAUCAUCUACCGCGUAUUAGUCGCAACUCGGGCAGACUGAUUGUACAAGUAGGGCGAAUGGCAACCUCAAUGGAGCAAAUAAGGGCUGACAACAGCCAAAUGCUUGCUCAUUUAUCGCGCAUCAUAGAUGAGCAACAGCGCCAUCAGCAGGCACUCGUUCAGCUCAUUCAGCACAACCAAGUGGUGAAUGAGUCGUUAUCCAGGAUUGUAGCCAGCCACACUGCAACCAACACUCAGCUGAUUGCAAGCCUUAAUAAUUUGAGCAGCAAUAUUUCAUUGAUGGGAGCUCACCAAGUAACCUCCAGCUCGGGGACCACGACCCCUAUCCAAACGCCAGUAACCUCCCCUGUUCGGCGUUCCUCCAGAGCACGUGCCAGUGAGCCAGCACAAAGCUCAGCACCCAGCACACACAAGCGGAAAAAAUAACCCCAAUGUGAUUGGCAAAAUAAAAAUUUGUAUUUGACAAACACACAA